rnacentral:rRNA from 1 species
AUUGAACGCUGGCGGCAUGCCUUACACAUGCAAGUCGAACGGCAGCACGGGAGCAAUCCUGGUGGCGAGUGGCGAACGGGUGAGUAAAGUAUCGGAACGUGCCCAGUCGUGGGGGAUAACGUAGCGAAAGUUACGCUAAUAACGCAUACUAUCUAUGGAUGAAAGCGGGGGAUCGCAAUACCUCGCGCGAUUGGAGCGGCCGAUAUCAGAUUAGGUAGGUGGUGGGGUAAAGGCUCACCAAGCCGACGAUCUGUAGCUGGUCUGAGAGGACGACCAGCCACACUGGGACUGAGACACGGCCCAGACUCCUACGGGAGGCAGCAGUGGGGAAUUUUGGACAAUGGGCGAAAGCCUGAUCCAGCCAUGCCGCGUGUAGGAUGAAGGCCUUCGGGUUGUAAACUGCUUUUGUACGGAACGAAAAGAUUUGGCCUAAUAAGCUGAGCUCAUGACGGUACCGUAAGAAUAAGCACCGGCUAACUACGUGCCAGCAGCCGCGGUAA